rnacentral:rRNA from 2 species
UAGGGAAUCUUCCACAAUGGACGCAAGUCUGAUGGAGCAACGCCGCGUGAGUGAAGAAGGUUUUCGGAUCGUAAAGCUCUGUUGUUGGUGAAGAAGGAUAGAGGCAGUAACUGGUCUUUAUUUGACGGUAAUCAACCAGAAAGUCACGGCUAACUACGUGCCAGCAGCCGCGGUAAUACGUAGGUGGCAAGCGUUGUCCGGAUUUAUUGGGCGUAAAGCGAGCGCAGGCGGAAUGAUAAGUCUGAUGUGAAAGCCCACGGCUCAACCGUGGAACUGCAUCGGAAACUGUCAUUCUUGAGUGCAGAAGAAGAGAGUGGAAUUCCAUGUGUAGCGGUGGAAUGCGUAGAUAUAUGGAAGAACACCAGUGGCGAAGGCGGCUCUCUGGUCUGCAACUGACGCUGAGGCUCGAAAGCAUGGGUAGCGAACAGG